GCGCCUCAGCCAGCCGCGGUAAUACGUAUGUCCCGAGCGUUAUCCGGAUGCUCCACUUUGGGGUGCAAGGGUCCCCGCCAAUUCCUUUAAAUUUCAACUUUGAAGUCGUCCUCCUCAGGCGCAGUAGUGGCAUGCGAUACUGGCUAGCACUGAGGGCACGAAAGCCCCGUGACACUUCACUUUUAUCGUUUGAAGGCGUAAGCUACCUGGGAGAUCUACUCGUGAUGAAUCCGGCUUACUGUCGCUACAUCAGAUGCAGAGACAGAACAGUGAGGGUCGCACACAGGAGGUGAUCCUCUGGUAGUCCACACCGUUAACGAUGAACACUAGGAGUUAGGAGGUUUCCGCCUCUUAGUGCCGAAGCUAACGCACUAAGUUGUUCCGCCUGGGGGAGUUCCGCCGCAAGGGUUGAAACUCAAAGGGAAUUGACGGGGGACCCGCACAAGCGGUGGAGCAUGUGGUUUAAUUUCGAAGCAACGCGAAAGAACCUUACCAGGUCUUGACAUCCUUUGAAGCUUUUAGAGAUAGAAGUGUUCUCUUCGGAGACAAAGUGACAGGUGGUGCAUGGUCGUCGUCAGCUCGUGUCGUGAGAUGUUGGGUUAAAGUCCCGCAACGAGCGCAACCCUUAUUGUUAGUUGCCAGCAUUCAGAUGGGCACUCUAGCGAGACUGCCGGUGACAAACCGGAGGAAGGCGGGGACGACGUCAGAUCAUCAUGCCCCUUAUGACCUGGGCUACACACGUGCUACAAUGGCGUAUACAACGAGUUGCCAACCCGCGAGGGUGAGCUAAUCUCUUAAAGUACGUCUCAGUUCGGAUUGUAGUCUGCAACUCGACUACAUGAAGUCGGAAUCGCUAGUAAUCGCGGAUCAGCACGCCGCGGUGAAUACGUUCCCGGGUCUUGUACACACCGCCCGUCACACCAUGGGAGUUUGUAAUGCCCAAAGCCGGUACCUAACCUCUAGGAAGGAGCCUU
rnacentral:rRNA from 1 species